rnacentral:rRNA from 1 species
GAACGAAGCGCCUGCGGCGGACCCCUCCGGGGGAAAGCCGCAGGGGACUGAGUGGCGGACGGGUGAGCAACGCGUGGGCAACCUGCCCCGUACCGGGGGACAACAGCCGGAAACGGCUGCUAAUACCGCAUAUUCCCGCGGGGCCGCAUGGCCCUGCGGGGAAAGCUCCGGCAGUACGGGAUGGGCCCGCGUCUGAUUAGCUUGUUGGCGGGGUAACGGCCCACCAAGGCUGCGAUCAGUAGCCGGCCUGAGAGGGCGGCCGGCCACAUUGGGACUGAGACACGGCCCAGACUCCUGCGGGAGGCAGCAGUGGGGGAUAUUGCACAAUGGGGGGAACCCUGAUGCAGCGACGCCGCGUGAACGAAGAAAUAUUUCGGUAUGUAAAGUUCUAUCAGCAGGGAAGAAAAUGACAGUACCUGACCAAGAAGCCCCGGCUAACUACGUGCCAGCAGCCGCGGUAAUACGUAGGGGGCGAGCGUUAUCCGGAUUCACUGGGCGUAAAGGGAGCGCAGGCGGCACGGCAAGUCCGGUGUGAAAGCCCGGGGCCCAACCCCGGGACUGCACUGGAAACUGCCGGGCUGGAGUGUCGGAGGGGCAGGCGGAAUUCCUAGUGUAGCGGUGAAAUGCGUA